ensembl:misc_RNA 7SK 7SK RNA
AGAUGUGACAGCGAUCUGGCUGAUACAUAUGUCACCCAUUGAUCUCCAGGUUGAUUCCCUCAUCUAGAUGGGUAAGCAGGUGUCCUCUUCCUCACACACCUCCAUGGGUGUCCCUAACAAAGCUGCAUGCUAGAUCAAAGAUGACUACCAUCUCUGACAGGGGGCAAUUCUUCAGUCAAGGGUAUGUGAAUAGAUGUGCUCUCCUGGAGGAACCUCCAAACAAACUCUCAAGAUCAUUGUUUGCUGAAAACUAUAAAUUGUACAAUCUAUAAUCAUUAAUUACCUAUUUGGAUGUGGAACCAAUACAUAUAACAAU